rnacentral:lncRNA from 1 species
CAGAGCCGGCCCGAGCCUUAGGCGAUCGAGGCGGUCGCCUAAGGCCCCGGGCCAAUGGAAGGCCCCGGGAGGUGAAGGGAGAAAAGAAAUUGAGAGAGAGAGGGGGAAGUUUUUGGCACCGUGAUCAAAAGGAAGCAAAGGCCCCUUUUAAAACAGAAACAGGAGCUCGCUACGAGUCUUCCCCCUUGAUGGAAGGGAGGUGGAGAGUUUUCUGGCCUGCAGAGGAUCAAUUUGGGAAGUUGGGGACAGUAGUUUUGUUUUGGGUGGAGAGAGAGAGAGAGAGAGAGAGAGAGAGAGAGAGAGAGAGAGA